CCUACGGGAUGCAGCUGUGGGGAAUAUUGGGCAAUGGGCGCAAGCCUGACCCAGCAACGCCGCGUGAAGGAAGAAGGCUUUCGGGUUGUAAACUUCUUUUGUCAGGGAAGAGUAGAAGACGGUACCUGACGAAUAAGCCACGGCUAACUACGUGCCAGCAGCCGCGGUAAUACGUAGGUGGCAAGCGUUGUCCGGAUUUACUGGGUGUAAAGGGCGUGUAGCCGGGUUGACAAGUCAGAUGUGAAAUCCUGCGGCUUAACCGCAGAACUGCAUUUGAAACUGUUGAUCUUGAGUACUGGAGAGGCAGACGGAAUUCCUAGUGUAGCGGUGAAAUGCGUAGAUAUUAGGAGGAACACCAGUGGCGAAGGCGGUCUGCUGGCCAGCAACUGACGGUGAGGCGCGAAAGCGUGGGGAGCAAACAGGAUUAGAUACCCGGGUAGUC
rnacentral:rRNA from 1 species